CGCUUAACCUGCUGAGCCCCCAGGCGCCCCUAAAUUUGUGCUUUAGGCUCCAGGACCAAUUUUUCAAGGGCUUCUGGAAAUCACCGUGCAGCCCCGAGGACCCUACUGUGGUGGCCUUGGCUGACCGUGAAACGCAGAGAGAGGGACUCCUUCCUCCCCGGCCUCCAUGUGGGACGGAGGCCACUCCGGAAACCCGCUCUCGCUCCUUCACCGGGUCAGUCCGUCCGGGACCAGCCGCGGUUACAAGCUCUGAUGAGCUCCCUUCCCGUGUCGCUCUCUCGGGGAAGGCAGACAGAAGCCACCUGGGGUCCCACAGACCCGGCCACCCCCACGAGGAGGAGGAGCCGGACCAGCGUGAGGCCACAGGAGGGACUUUGGGGGCAGUGGCAGCCAGAGGAUGGGGUUUGCAUUUGACAAUGACCUCUCUGGCUGCCCGGCAGAUGGAGAGCAGAUAAUGACGCUUCUAUUUUUAAGAAAGGCUGACUCCCUUGGUGGUGCCCUGCGGAAAGGGCAUCCCUGCGUGAUGCCAACUUUGAUGAAUAAUCUCAACUCCAUUGAACUAUUUUACCAGUGCCCCAUGGUAAGAGGCUUAUGAAUUAUUCAGCCUCACAGCGGUCUCUGCAGAGGGGCCCUGGCCGCUAAUGAGCAGUGGGCCGGGGGACCCCAGUGAGCGAUGGGUCGGGACGGAGGCGGUCAGCGGAGCCGCCCGGGGAAGCCUUUGGAUCUUCUCAGCAGCUCAGCCAAGGGUUCGAGCCACGCCCCCCCUUCUGAAACCAAGCCACCUCCUUCAUGUCCACGGACCUUGAUACGU